UACGGAGGGGGCUAGCGUUGUUCGGAAUUACUGGGCGUAAAGCGCACGUAGGCGGCGCGACAAGUCAGAGGUGAAAGGCCUGGGCUCAACCUGGGAACUGCCUUUGAUACUGGCGUGCUUGAGUCCGGAAGAGGGUGGCGGAAUUCCCAGUGUAGAGGUGAAAUUCGUAGAUAUUGGGAAGAACACCGGUGGCGAAGGCGGUCACCUGGUCCGGUACUGACGCUGAGGUGCGAAAGCGUGGGAGCAAACAGG
rnacentral:rRNA from 1 species